rnacentral:rRNA from 1 species
AUUGAACGCUGGCGGCAGGCCUAACACAUGCAAGUCGAACGAGUGGCGGACGGGUGAGUAAUGUCUGGGAAUCUGCCUGGGGGAGGGGGAUAACUUCGGGAAACGGUAGCUAAUACCGCAUACCAUCAGAUGUGCCCAGAGGGGAUUAGGUAGUUGGUGGGGUAACGGCUCACCAAGGCGACGAUCCCUAGCUGGUCUGAGAGGAUGACCAGCCACACUGGAACUGAGACACGGGCCAGACUCCUACGGGAGGCAGCAGUGGGGAAUAUUGCACAAUGGGCGCAAGCCUGAUGCAGCCAUGCCGCGUGUAUGAAGAAGGCCUGCGGGUUGUAAAGUACUUUCAGCGGGGAGGCGUUACCCGCAGAAGAAGCACCGGCUAACUCCGUGCCAGCAGCCGCGGUAAUUC